rnacentral:misc_RNA from 1 species
CCAUCCCUCAAGCCCGGCUUGGGUGUUGGGCCGUCGUCCCCGUUUCCCGGGGGCGGGUCCGAAAGGCAGUGGCGGUGCCGGUUCGGUCCUGGAGCGUAUGGGGCUUUGUCACUCCGCUCUGCAGGAUCUGGAUCGGCGCUUGCCCCCCAGUCUUCCUCUCA